CAGUCGAACGAAGCACUUUGACCUGAUUCUUCGGAUGAAGGUUUUUGUGACUCAGUUGCGGACGGGUGAGUAACGCGUGGGUAACCUGCCUCAUACAGGGGGGAUAACAGUUAGAAAUGACUGCUAAUACCGCAUAAGACCACGGAGCCGCAUGGCUCAGUGGGAAAAACUCCGGUGGUAUGAGAUGGACCCGCGUCUGAUUAGGUAGUUGGUGGGGUAACGGCCUACCAAGCCAACGAUCAGUAGCCGACCUGAGAGGGUGACCGGCCACAUUGGGACUGAGACACGGCCCAAACUCCUACGGGAGGCAGCAGUGGGGAAUGUUGCACAAUGGGGGAAACCCUGAUGCAGCGACGCCGCGUGAGCGAAGAAGUAUUUCGGUAUGUAAAGCUCUAUCAGCAGGGAAGAAAAUGACGGUACCUGACUAAGAAGCACCGGCUAAAUACGUGCCAGCAGCCGCGGUAAUACGUAUGGUGCAAGCGUUAUCCGGAUUUACUGGGUGUAAAGGGAGCGUAGACGGCUGUGUAAGUCUGAAGUGAAAGCCCGGGGCUCAACCCCGGGACUGCUUUGGAAACUAUGCAGCUAGAGUGUCGGAGAGGUAAGUGGAAUUCCCAGUGUAGCGGUGAAAUGCGUAGAUAUUGGGAGGAACACCAGUGGCGAAGGCGGCUUACUGGACGAUGACUGACGUUGAGGCUCGAAAGCGUGGGGAGCAAACAGGAUUAGAUACCCUGGUAGUCCACGCCGUAAACGAUGACUACUAGGUGUCGGGGAGCAAAGCUCUUCGGUGCCGCAGCAAACGCAAUAAGUAGUCCACCUGGGGAGUACGUUCGCAAGAAUGAAAC
rnacentral:rRNA from 1 species